rnacentral:rRNA from 1 species
UACAGAGGUCUCAAGCGUUGUUCGGAUUCAUUGGGCGUAAAGGGUGUGUAGGUGGCGCCGUAAGUCGGGUGUGAAAUUUCGGAGCUUAACUCCAGAACUGCCUUCGAUACUGGAAAGCUCGAGUCCGGGAGAGGUGAGUGGAACUGCGAGUGUAGAGGUGAAAUUCGUAGAUAUUCGCAAGAACACCAGUGGCGAAGGCGGCUCACUGGCCCGAUACUGACGCUGAGGCACGAAAGCGUGGGGAGCAAACAGG